rnacentral:rRNA from 1 species
GUAACACCGGCAGCCCGAGUGGUGAUCACUAUUAUUGGGUCUAAAGGGUCCGUAGCCGGUUUAAUCAGUCUUCUGGGAAAUCUAAUCGCUUAACUAUUAGGCUUCCAGGGGAUACUGUUAGACUUGGGACCGGGAGAGGUAAGAGGUACUGCAGGGGUAGGAGUGAAAUCUUGUAAUCCCUGUGAGACCACCAGUGGCGAAGGCGUCUUACCAGAACGGGUCCGACGGUGAGGGACGAAAGCUGGGGGCACGAACCGGAUUAGAUACCCGGGUAGUCCCAGCUGUAAACGAUGCUCGUUAGGUGUCAGGAACGGUGCGACUGUUUCUGGUGCCGAAGGGAAGCCGUGAAACGAGCCACCUGGGAAGUACGGCCGCAAGGCUGAAACUUAAAGGAAUUGGCGGGGGAGCACUACAACGGGUGGAGCCUGCGGUUUAAUUGGACUCAACGCCGGAAAACUCACCGGGGGCGACAGCAAUAUGUAGGUCAGGUUAAAGGUCUUACCUGAAUCGCUGAGAGGAGGUGCAUGGCCGUCGUCAGUUCGUACUGUGAAGCAUCCUGUUAAGUCAGGCAACGAGCAAGACCCGUGCCCACUGUUACCAGCAUAUCCUUUAUGGAUGAUGGGGACUCUGUGGGGACCGCUGCUGCUAAAGCAGAGGAAGGUGCGGGCUACGGUAGGUCAGUAUGCCCCGAAUCUCCCGGGCUACACGCGGGCUACAAUGGUUGGGACAAUGGGUAUCUACUCCGAAAGGAGUUGGCAAUCUCUUAAACCCAAUCGUAGUUCGAAUUGAGGGCUGUAACUCGCCCUCAUGAAGCUGGAAUCCGUAGUAGUCGCGUUUCAACAUA